GAGAAAUUUGAAUUUCUUUUUUAAUAUUUUAACAUUCUCUCAGCUUGUAUCAUGUGCUCAUUCUUCUUUUUGGUUGAUGAUCUUUUUGAUUUGUAAGAGUUAUUUUUUACAAAGUAAGUUGCAUAUUUUUAUAAGUUGUUGUUAUGGUUUGUAUGUAGUUUGUCUCUGCCAAAGCUAAUGUUGAAAUUUAGUUGCCAAUGUAAUGGUCUUGGGAGGUGGGGCAUUUUAGAAGAUAGUUAGGUCAUUAAGAUGGGUUAAUGUCUUUCUCACAAAACUGGGUUAGUUCUUGCAAUAUUGGAUUCGUUCCCUUGAGAGUAGCUUGUUAUAAAGCUAGGUUGCCUUUGUGUUCUCUUUUGCACAGGCUCCCAGCCACGUGAUCUAUCCGCCAUAUUACUAUGCAGCAUGAGACUAUCGCCAGAUGCAGCUACCCAGUAUGGAAACUUCUCAGUCUCCAGAACUGUUAGAAGAUGAGGACUCCAGCACAGCAUCUGCUCUCUCUGAAGAGGUCUACAGGAACAUUCUUCUGAAAUCUUUUCUCUGUUCCAUGUUUACAUUCCUGAAUUUGUUGAGUGUUUCAAGAAAAUAAAACAGGUCAUUGGAGUCAUUUUCUUUGUAAUUUUGUAUGCACUGACAGAGGUGAUCCAACUUAUACUCUCUGGUAUCCUGAUAGCUAUCAAAAAGGGUUACAUUCUAAAUUGCUAGUUCUUAUCAUUCUGUUGCCAGCAGUUCUAAAUCCUGACUACAAAUGAGAAUCACCAGCAAAGCUUUUUAAAAGUGUGGAUGCCUGCUACUCCUUUUCUCAGACUGAAAUUCUGAUUUAAUUGGCCUGUUGAAUAUUUGUAUUAUUUUAAAAGCUCAAAUAAUGAUUUUAAUGUGCAACAAGGGCUGAGAGCAACUAAUACAAACAAAUGGUGACUUAUUGCUUCAGACAACAUCUUUGGAUGGAAUAGUUUGUACUAAAAAUUUUCUCUGUGUUUAUAGACUCAGCCUAAUCACUCUAAAAACUGUUCCUAAUAAUAAAUUAGUUCAAAAAAUACACCCCGAGUAUUCAUAAGAACUCAUUGUGACUAUUUAUAGAAGGAUUCAUUUUUGCACCAAAUUUUAACUCAUUUGGUUGAUAUAUUUUAAACUAUCUUCAUUUAAACAAAGUUGAAAUCAUGCUUUAGUUGUCCAUCAAUUUUGUGUGUGUGUGUGUGUAUACCUAUUAGUGUUCCCAUAUAUGAAUAUUUCUUCUCUGUUGAAUAGCUAAUGCAUAUAAAUUUUCUUAUGAUUCUUAUCCACUUUUAGCUUUAUAGAAAAGAAAUCAGGAAGAGGGGAAAAGCUGAGGAAAAUAAACAAUCAUUUCUCUUGGGGGAAAAAAGGCAAUUUCAUCUGAAGAAAACUAACACAUGAAAUAAUUGAAAAAAGCACUUUUCCAGCUUUGCGCAGUGGCAGUAUCGUAGCCAAUGAGGUUUAUCCGAGGCGCGAUUAUUGCUAAUUGAAAAAAGCACUUUUCCAUCAAUUCUGUCACGUUUAAGAUGAAUUUUCCAAAGGGAGUAAGACGGUCUCCUGACAUUCUUAUUCCAGGAAGUCUUUCAGAUUUUCCACAAAGUCUUUCCUACAUUUAAAAUUAAAUGGUUCCCAUGUACAGAGCUGAGACUGGUUGCCUAGUAUUAUCCCACCUUAAGUGCCAAGUGCCUUUAAUGUCCAAUUUUAACUUUAGGAGGAAAUAAAAUACAUUGAUUACUUUUCCCAGCAGGCUUGAUAACUCUCGAACAUCAUUAAAAUGGAAAAAUAAGUUUAAUAAGCCUGUUUCUCUGCUCCCUGGAGCGAAAAACUUCAAAAUUUUAUCCCUCAAAUUCUACAUUUAGGGAUUUAUUCUACAGAUGUUAUCAGGCUUAUAAACAAGUGUGUGUGUGUGUGUGUGUGCUUGUGCGCACGCAUGAGCGUGCAUGCAGAUGUGUGGGUGCAUGCAGACAUGCAUGCAUGUGUGUGCCGACAUACAAACUGAUUUACUAAAACAUUUUCAGAAUAACAAAGAAUGUGAAACAAACUAAAUGUCAGUGAGAAAACAGUGAAAUGAGUGAUAGUAAAACUGUUAAACACAUUGACAUUAAUCUAUGUAUACUGAGAAGGAAAAGUUUCUUAGACACAUUA
ensembl:lncRNA